rnacentral:lncRNA from 1 species
CUUGUUGGAUGAUAUAUAAUUAUCUUAUAUUGUCUGAUACAGUCUUAUAGACUAUAGUAUCUCAGAUGACUCCUUAAAAUUAGUUCCCACAUUUCUUAGCUUUUAUUAUGAUUUGUAUCCCUAUUUGGUACUUUGAGGCUUGCAUUAGUUUAAGGAAGUGAAUAACAUGCACCAAUUUUUAGUGGUGCAAUAGUGAGGUAAUUUCAGAUAUUCCCUAGUCCUUCUACUAUAAAACAAACAGGAUAGGAAAUAACAAAAGAUUAAAAGAGCAACGACUGUGGCCACCCAAUGACCUUCAUCGUAUUUCCCUUCCCACAGAACUGUGAUCAGAAAUUACCUCUGCCACUUAGUGCUACUGCUUGGAAUUGAAACUCUGCUAAUAUUUGGAACAUUAUUCUUGUCAAUUGUAUGCAAACCCUGUAGAGAUUACUAUUAUUGUUGUUAUUUUGCUUCUAAUUUAACUAAAUAUUCUUACAGGAACUGAUUUGGGCUGAAUUAGGGUUCUGUUGUGUUAAUCAGAAGGAUUUUCUAUUGAGUGUUUGUCUGAGAAACAUGUUGAAGCAAGCAAUUGGAAGAUUUUGCAGCAGAGGAAAUGUUUAUGUUUCUGAAGGAAACAGAGUUUUGCCUUCGAUUUAUGUGCCUUUGUGUAGUUUCCACAAUGGACAAGUAAACUCUCAUAUUCUUCCAUUCAAAGCUUGUGUUUUAGUAUUUCCUUAUGUUACUUGAAUUUCUUAGUUAUCUUUUUACUAGAAUAGUUGAAUUUGGCUGAAUAUAGAUUUAAGUGAAUGAAUCUGAGUGAAACAUAUGGUUGAAAAGGUCUAUGGUUCAAAUGUAUAGCAAAUUGAAAACACAUUUAAAAAGGAACAAAAACUCUUGCAUAAAUAUUGCAUAUGAACACACAAGAUAAGGACAAACAUGAGUCACACACAAAUUAAGAGAACAAACAAUCGUCAUUAUAAGAAAGGUUAAGUUGAAAAUUCAAGGCACAAGGUUAAGUUGACUAGCGGGUCUGUUUAUAUGAACAGUUUAAUCAAGUGCUUAAACAACCUAGGAAACUGUUAUGGACAAAGUCAUACCAAUCAACUCCAAUCCAACUUGUAAUUCAUCAAAAAAUUCUUGAAACAUGCAUAAUAUAUAAUUAUGUAUGGACCUGCAUUUUGACAAGCUAUAGUUAUGUUCCCAACCAUAAUGUUAUUUAAUCAUCAUCAACUACAAUAAAUAUCAAUUAUCAUCAAACACGUAUCCGCGAAACCAAUCGUGGGCAAAAGAAGCACCUUUCACCAUAGUAGUAUCGUCAAAAUUAAAAUGAUAAUUAUGUUUUGUGGUUCGCAUCGGUCCAUCGUUAAGUGAAGCGCAAACAUUAGAGAUGAUGUAUAUAUUCUCUUCUUUGAUCUUUUCAUUGAAACGUGUCCAUAGAUUACAAUGUAUAGAUGCACCAAUUUUUACACCCUGUUCAAAAAAAGUAAAAAAAAAAUCAAUAUCCAUAUUUCAUGAUAAACUCAAACUAACAUAUAAAAAAUAGAUAGACCUUUGAAUCCAUAAGAAUCAAUUCCAUCGGUAAAGAUGGUUCGUAAGACAUGAUGUUUUUAACGGACCAGCAUCGCAGGAUGCGUACGACCAUGGUAUAAUAAUCUUUCACAUUGUUAACAUCACUUAAACAAUCAUAAAAGGAAUCUCCUUUAUUUUGUUGAUAGGAUUGUAAAAGUGAAUUUGUGGGUAUGGAGUCGUAGAAAUGCCACCCUAUUUAUAGUAGUAUUGCAAAUCAAAAUGAAGUUAUAUAAAAGUUACCUUGCUUGAUACAAUCCCUAUAAUGUCGUUUGUAUUCAAAGCUUUUAAUGAUAAUUGAUAUUUAUUGUAGUUACAAAAUCAGUGGCUGAGUUGUAUUUCUUGUUCACGAAAAGAUAAAAAAAUCUCCAAAGAAGAUAGAAGUAGAGAGGUCACACACCUUUAUUUGUCGCAGAUCUUUUGAAAAUUCUGG